rnacentral:rRNA from 1 species
UAAAGUUGUUACAGUUAAAAAGCUCGUAGUUGAAUUUCGGGAUCAAUAUAUUGGUCGUGCCUCUGGUAUGCACUGGUAUUAUUGAUUUCUACCUUCUGACGAACUGUGAUGUCAUUAAUUUGGUGUCAUGGGGAAUCAGGACUGUUACUUUGAAAAAAUUAGAGUGUUUAAAGCAGGCACACGCUUGAAUACAUUAGCAUGGAAUAAUGAAAUAGGACGUUUGACCCUAUUUUGUUGGUUUCUAGGAUCGACGUAAUGAUUAAUAGGG